UGGGGAAUAUUGGACAAUGGAGGAAACUCUGAUCCAGCAAUUCUGUGUGUGUGAAGAAGGUUUUAGGACUGUAAAACACUUUUAGUAGGGAAGAAAAAAAUGACGGUACCUACAGAAGAAGCAACGGCUAAAUACGUGCCAGCAGCCGCGGUAAUACGUAUGUUGCGAGCGUUAUCCGGAAUUAUUGGGCUUAAAGGGCAUCUAGGCGGUAAGACAAGUUGAAGGUGAAAACCUGUGGCUCAACCAUAGUCUUGCCGUUGAUACUGGUUAGCUUGAGUGUAGAUGAUGUAGGCGGAACGUGUAGUGUAGCGGUGAAAUGCAUAGAUAUUACGCAGAACUCCGAUUGCGAAGGCAGCUUACAAAACUACUACUGACACUGAGGCACGAAAGCGUGGGUAUCAAACAGG
rnacentral:rRNA from 1 species